UGUGAUCUUUCUUAACCUGGUAUAAUGGAAGUUACCCUCUGAAUUUAAGCAUAUAAGUAAGUGGUGGAAAAGAAACUUCAAAGGAUUCUUCAAGUAAUGGCGAAUGAAGAAGGAAGAGCUAAUAACUAGAAGCAAAGCCUUGUGCUUUGCGUUGUAAUAUCUUGAUCCGUGACCAGCAGGGCGGCAUGUGUACGUCUUUUGGAAAAAAGCGCAACGAAUGGUGAAAGCCCAGUUCAACACAUGUUUUGCCCGGCGUAACGUCCGGAAUCUCGGAGUCGCGUUCCCUGGGACGGGAGCGUAAAUUAGAUGGUAUAUUUCAUCUAAAGCUAAAUAUCUUCUCGAGUCCGAUAGAGAACAAGUACCAUGAGGGAAAGAUGAAAAGUACUUUGAAAAGAGGGUUAGACGCGCCUGCAACCACUGUAUUACAAGCACUUGGAUCCUUCCAGUUCGCUGGAUCAGUGAGUCGUUCGAAUCGCCAAGCGUGACCCAGUGGAUCGUGCGGUGUUUUGUCCAGGCUUGCGGAAUCCGGCAGAUACUAUCGGUGCAACUAACGGGUCUGUCAACCAAUCUCGUUGGACCGCUCCUAGAGUGGAUCGCGUGAUGUAGUCGCAGAUCUAAGUUUUGUUUUCUGGAAAGCUGCAUUUUCUUGCAUAGUUACUCCUUAAUUCAUUUGACUGCGUUCACGCUGAUUUUGGGUUGGGUUUAGCUGUAAGGUACAGUCUUUCCGCGGCGCCGAUUCGGUAAAGGUUUCAAAUGACCCGUCUUGAAACACGGACCAAGA
rnacentral:rRNA from 1 species